AAAACCUAUAAAAUUGAAGUUGCUUUUGAAAAAAAUUAUAUUUUAUAGUUGAAUUAAUUUUUUUUAAAAAAGAUGAAAUUAUAAGUGAAAUGGGUGCACAGGUAGCAGAUUAGCAUGGGCAAGAAGAGGCAGAAAGAAGUGCAUUUUUAAAACAUGGUGCAAGCAAGGGUAUUCCAUAUUCAACUACCUCAUAUCAUAGACACUACAUUGAAAGUGACACAAGUGGAAUCCAAUGGACCUUGCUGCCUAAAGAAAAGGCAUAAGAGAGUGAGUUAAGGAAAUUAAAUAGCACAAAAUUAUUGAAGAUAGAAAGAGAAGCUGAAAAUACCAUUCUCAGAUCUAAAAUGAAGUUCUUGUUUCAGUGCCCUUGCUGCUCCUGCUUCUGCUUCAUGAAGCCGAAACAAGGGAAGCCCAAGAUCAAGGAACAACCCAAGAUCAAGGAAGAACCCAAGAAGGAGAUCAAAGAAACCAAGGUUGAAGAAAAGAAGGACGACUGAUACAUGUAACUUUAUUUUCCAUUCUCCUUCUUCUUCUCACCAAUAUUAUAAGGAUCUUCUUCUUCUUCUUCCUUUAAUUACUACUGUCAUCUCCCAUCCUACUCUUCUUCUUACUUUCAAAAUCUACAAUGCCUUUGCAAAACUUCACUUUCUUCAUUCAUCCUGUCACUUUCUCAAUCUUUCACUUUAUAUUUUUCUUUAUAGAAUAUGAAACUCGAUUGAUUGAGUAGUAAUAACAUGACACAUUUUUACACUUAUUUGACAUCAAAUACAAGGAUAAAAUGAUCCAAAAAAUGUAAAGUUUUAUAGUUUUUCAAGGGAAAAUGAUAUUUUGACACCAAUUUUUUAACACCAUUUUGACACUGCAUACAUGUCAAAAUGUGAUUGGACGAUUUCAAAUUAAAAAAAAAUUUUGAUUUUUUUCUUCGAAAUAUGUCCUUGUCUCAGUUUUUUUAUUUUGAAAUCGUUCAACCACGUUUUGACACGUGUGCAUUGUCAAAAUAGUGUCAAAAUAUCAUUUUCCUUUUUUAAGAAAGAAGAGAGUAAAAAGUAAGUAAAAAUAGUGUCAAAUGAAUGUAAAAAAUUUAAGUAUGUCAAAUAUUAUUUUUCCGAUUGAUUUCAUGAACAUACAGUGGAUUAUUUUAUAAUAAAUAAAAUUAUUUUAAGAUAUGUUAGUGUAUUUAACUUAAUCUGAAAAUUAUAUAUUAUAUUAUGUUAUAUCAAUUUGUUAGAAAUUUAACUGAGUUUAAAACUUUAGAAAGAUAGAUCCAUUAAUUUCUGAUGAUUUAACUCGAUGGAUUUUACUGGUAUUGAAUGUUUCUGAUAAAUACUUAAGAAAGGUCCAUUUAUUUUAUAAAGGAUAUCUUUCUUAUCUUAAAUUUAUUUCACCUCUGCAUUGAAUAACUGUUUUGUAUAUUAUUUUUUGUUUUUUACUUGAGAAGAAAUAUAUAUUUUUUCUUUUAUGCUCCCUAAAUGGAAUUCUCUUCCCAAACAUAGCACUGUCCAAAAAUAUUACCCAACAGCACAUUUUCAUUUAUAUUUAUCAAAUAGAACAAUUUUAUUUAGGUUAGAAUUUGGUUUCUAAAAAACAGAAAAUUAGUUAUGAUUCGAUUAUUAGAAAAGCAAAUUUCAAAUUUUGAUAUUUUUUUCUUCUUUUAAAAAGAAAAUAAUAAAAAUAGUUAAUUAAUCAAAACAUAAUCACGUUUAAAUGUAAAAAUUAAUUAAUGGAAUAUAUAUCUUAAUUAAAUUAAAUAGUUACGUUUAAAUUAGUUUGAAAUGAUGGUAAUAAAAGAAAAUAUAAUGUAAAAUGUGAAAUUUAAUAUAAUGAACAUAGUUAUUUUAAUUAAUAUUUAAAAAAGCACAUCAAGGAAAAUAUUCAUAUACACAGGCACAAUUAACAUCAAAUGUUUUAAUAAAAAAGAAUAUUAAGAAUGUUUUUACCCAGUAAUCAUAUAAGACCAUUCCUUCACCUCUCUUUUGUCGGAUUUUGGUUCAUCUGCCUUCUCUAUCUUAAACAACAUUCAAAGAUAUUGAAACUGCCUUAAAGAAUUUAAGACGUGUUUGUUUCCACAUAUGGAAACUCAGCGAGCGAAGAAAAGAUGAAUUUUUAGAAUAUCAAUGCAUAACACACAAAGAAUAAAAAAAAAAAAUUGUUUCCAACUUUCUUCCCUUGGUGCGAAGAAAGCAAAUGAAAGUGCAUUUUUAUAAAUUUUAUAUUAAUUCCUUUUAUAAAAUUAACUAAUAAUCUAUUAAAACCUUUAUUAAUUGAAAAGAAAUAAAGAUAUUAUUUAAUUUCACUCAUUUAAAUUAUAAUAUUUUAUUGUUUAUAUUUUUAUUUUGUAUAUAGUUUUUAUUUUAUAAUUUAAAAUUUAUUUUAACUUUAUUUUAUAUUUUUAUUUUAUAAUUUCAUUAAAACAAUUUUUUAAUCUAUCAAACCUAUCACAUCAUUCAAAAACUUUUAUAAACUUUCAUCUCAAAUAUAUUCAUUUCACAUAUAAGAACUUAUAAAAUUGUAUUUUAUAAUGAUAAUAAGAUUCAAUUAUUUUAAUAAAAAAGUUUGAUGGCAUACCUCUAGUUAUGACCUACCACAUUCAUGAAUAGUUGGAAACAUCUAUGGAAGAUAGGCCUAGACUCUUUCUCUUGGGCCAUCUUAAGUCAUAAUGAAGAUUUAGUAGAAUAAGAAUAAUUUUGGACCUUGUAUUUUGGGUCAAGUAGAAUAGGAAUUUGACCAAACAAGUCAACAAAGGGCCAAGGCCCAAAGUUGACUAUGCUUGGAUGUCCAAAAUGGGUGUAUUGACCAAUGAGUCAACAUUUUGGCUAAGCUUGGAGAACAAGGGAGAAGAAUUUCGUCCUAGACAUGUGAAAGCUUCCCAUUGGAGAGUUUUCCUCCUAGUUAAUGGCCAUGUGUUACUCUAAGAAUAGAGAUAUUUUUCAUAGGUAGUGGUCACUUGUCACUCUCUCAUUUGAGAGGAAUUUUGCCACUUGCCUCCUUCCUAUUGGAGAGGAUUUCUCCUUGCUCUCCAAAACAACCAAGGUGGCUCUUUUAGGUUAAAGUUUCAGCCCAUUUUGAGACACCUUAGCCUAUAAAUAGAGGUGUUCUCCAUCAUGUAAUCACCUUUGAUUUAGAGUAAAGUAAUGCUGCCAAUUUUGUGUCAUACUACUCUUUUAAGGUCACCUUAGGCUAGAGCAACCUAAGUGGCCUCCUCUAACCACCUUCCUCCAAGAGUUGGCCCAACCUCUCUUAGAGAACCCUUAAACACAUCUUCCCUCAGCAUACAACUCACGAAAACCAUGAGCUAUCAACAUCUUUCACCACCACCAUAUUCCGCAAUCUUUAUCCAUGAACUUAUGACUUGAUUUGCUUCUAGAUUUGGCUUGUCCUAGCUAAAGCAUUUGCCAUCAACGUUUAAGUAUAAAUAGAAAUUCUAUAAACGAGUUUCAUUAUUUUAAAAUGAAAAAUCCCUCUGGAAACCACUUUGUCUGUUUGAAAAAUUGAAAUCGUAGGAUUACUCUUGGUAGUGAGCUCUUCAAAAUCAAACGAUUAAUUUCUCAAUUUGAUUAAGUUGAUUUUCUGUACCUUUUCUAGGUUCAAUAUGUUAUUCUUUCAUAUGUGGGCCUAUCUUGUUUACAUGUGUCUUUAGAGUCUUCUAUAAUAUUUUAUGUUGAUCGAUGGUUCUAAUAGGAUACCCUGAUCAUGUUUGUGUUAUUUUUAGGGAUAGAUAGACCUUUUUGUACGUUCGAGUUUGUUUUAAGGUGUCUAGGUUGUUUGAGCAAUUACCAAAGGUAAAGGAAGCUAAUUGCAACUAUUAUAAAUUCUAAAUUUGUUCAAUUGAUUGAAUGCAUCUUUAUAAUUGUGAUUGUAUGACCAAUAGUUAUGUUUGAUAUUAUCAGUAUUUGAUUUGGGAAAUGUAAGAUCAAUUUUGCAUAAUUAGGAUGUAUAAUGAAUUUUGAGGUGUUUUGAUGAAUAAUAUUGUGAAUGUGAUGAUUUGGACUGAGUUGAACAAAUAGAUAUCAAAUUGGCAUAUUUGUGUUAUGUUUGAAGCAUUGGAAUGAAAAUUGACAGGUUUGGAUAUGCAUAAUUGCAUAAUUUUUCUUUUUUUCUUUUUGCAAUUAUGUAAACUCACUAUAGGAGAAGGGUUGUGUCAUUGGGCAACGCCUAAGACGAAGAAUCCUUGUCUUGGUGGUCGUUGGGCGAAAGUAUUCUCGCUGAAUGACUUCAAAGUUAGAGAGCUCACCAGCUUGGUUGUUGUUGAGGGUGUCUGGCCUUUGUUGGGAAAAUUUUGGCAUAUAAAUUACUAGGAGCUCCAGUGGUGGCCUCGAUGGACGCGUGGAUGAUAUAUGAAUGUAUGAAUGAUAAUAUGAAUGUUUGGAAUAUGAUGAGAUAUAAACCCUAAAGAUGAUAGGAUUUUCAAGGGAAACUCCUUAUGAAGUAUGUUUAUUAAGGUGUGCAAUAAAGUAGAGACUCAAAAUAGGAAGUUAUCUUGAUACUUUACUAGUCAUUCUCACUCAUAAAGGAGGUGGACAAGGGGUUGAGAGUGGUAGGAAGUCCUAGUCAAAAGAACUUUUUGAAGCUCUAGUGACUUGUAUAGAAUUAACCUUGUGGAUGAAGAGUAUCUAUCACAAGUGUAAAAACUUCCUUUUAGUCCAACAUUAAUGCAUUUAUCCAAAUGAUUGAGUCUAGAAAAGUCUAGUUUGAUGUGACUUGUGUUUUAAUACUAUAUGAUUUUCUUAGCUUGUCAUUGUUGCUUGUUUAAUAGUUGUAUGAUAACCCUUUUGUAUAUUAGCUUACUUUUUAUUUUGCGUGUUUCUUCUUGUGUUUGUUCUCUUCUAUUGUAAUGAUCACUUUUGUGGGUGUAAACAGAUGAAGAAGCAAGAGUUGAGCUACCUUUGGAGGGUGACGGUGGUGCAACUGAGUAGUAUUAGACUUUCAGUUCUUUUGUUUAUAAUUCUUUUGAAAGACUCAUCUUAUGUCGUUUGUUUAUAGUUUCCUAACGUUGUAAACAAGUCUUAUAUUUGUUUUGAACGUUUGAGACACUUGUAGUAGUAUACUCUAGUUUUUGAAUUAUCUACUUUAAUUUAUUAAUUAUGUACCAUUACAUUACAUCAUCUUUCCCUUAAUCCAAACAACCUCACUUUCACCUCAUUUUUUCCUUAAAUUCACUCCCUUAAAUCUAUCUUUAAAUCCAAUAUUAUGUCUAACUCAUUAGAUCUUUUGAAAUACACCUCAUGCC
rnacentral:lncRNA from 1 species